rnacentral:lncRNA from 10 species
CAGUGCUUGGAUCAGCUGAUGAGAGCUUUUCUCCACAUCUCCACACCUUUUGGCGGGGCUUGGGAAGAACGUAGCAGGUGCUCCAUGGCACACAGAAGGUCCUGUUUCCUCAUUUGGACUAGGAAGAGUGGGACGGGGUCAUUUAAACACCAGCACCAUCUUCUACAGUUUGUGCAUGGAAGACUCCUGGAUCAGGGCUGGUUAGUGAGAAGAGAAGAGAGCCAGGAGGAGGCCUUCACGCAACUCAUGUUGGGGCUGUGCCAUCUGCGAAGUGAGGUUGCUGGAUACCAGAGGCCCAGAGCCCCUGAAGAGUGGCCCCGGCCACAGGCCCACCUGGGUGGCAGGGCAGCACAGGCCCACACCAGUGGGCACUCACCCAUGGACUCGUUCCAGGGUACAUGUGCAGGAUGUACAGACAUGUUACACAGGUAAACGUGUGCCAUGGUGGUUUGCUGCAGCUAUCAACCCAUCACUUAGGUAUUAAGACCAGCAGGCGUUAGCUAUUUCUCCCAGUGCUCUCCCUCCCCACACCCCGCCUCCCGCCAUGCCCCAGUGUGUGGUGUUCCCCUCCCAAAACAGUUCUUGAAAACAUAAAAUACACUACCAGCUUUAGCCUUCCUUUCUACACCGACCCCCACUCAGUUCUCCUCCCAGAUGUACUUUAAACUCCACAGUCAAAAGUCAGACUCAUGGUUUACACCAAAGGGGCAUGCCUUUUUUUUUUUUUUUUAACAUAUUUUUUCUUAGGAAUCUGCUCCUACAUUUCUUAUCUCACUUGAUGAAGCAACCAUUCGCACAGUGUGUCAAGCCAGAGGUGGUUAUUAGUUCACAUGUAUUCUCCCCUCAGAAUAAUUUACUGUAAUCCGUAUACAGUAUAUAGGGUUUUUAUUAACACAAAUGGCAUGAUACUGAACACACUGUUCUCUGCCGAGCCGAUUUUUAUCCUUCCUUAUGGCUACGGCAUAUUCCACAGUACAGACGCUGCGUAACUCACUCGCCUGGUCCUCAGUGGGUGGUGUUAGUUGUUUGCAGUCAGCGCUAUCGCAAACAGUGCUGCCGGGAGACCCUGCCCAGUGCCUCUUGGUGAAUCUCUGCAGAGGCAGCUGCAGCGGAAUUGCUGGAUUAAGUAGUAUAUGCACUUGAAAUGCUGACAUAUUCCUAAAUUGUCUUCCGAUAAGGUUGCGCUGAUUGACUCCCACCAGCAAUAAGAGGGUGGCUAUUUCCCCACACCUUUG